rnacentral:tRNA from 1 species
UUUAAGAUGGCAGAAUAGUGCAAUAGACUUAAGAUCUAUAUAAAAAGGUUAGAUUCCUUUUCUUAAAA